GCGACAGAUAAGGAGCUUGCUCCUUUGACGUUAGCGGCGGACGGGUGAGUAACACGUGGGUAACCUACCUAUAAGACUGGAAUAACUCCGGGAAACCGGGGCUAAUGCCGGAUAACAUUUAGAACCGCAUGGUUCUAAAGUGAAAGAUGGUUUUGCUAUCACUUAUAGAUGGACCCGCGCCGUAUUAGCUAGUUGGUAAGGUAACGGCUUACCAAGGCAACGAUACGUAGCCGACCUGAGAGGGUGAUCGGCCACACUGGAACUGAGACACGGUCCAGACUCCUACGGGAGGCAGCAGUAGGGAAUCUUCCGCAAUGGGCGAAAGCCUGACGGAGCAACGCCGCGUGAGUGAUGAAGGUCUUCGGAUCGUAAAACUCUGUUAUUAGGGAAGAACAAAUGUGUAAGUAACUAUGCACGUCUUGACGGUACCUAAUCAGAAAGCCACGGCUAACUACGUGCCAGCAGCCGCGGUAAUACGUAGGUGGCAAGCGUUAUCCGGAAUUAUUGGGCGUAAAGCGCGCGUAGGCGGUUUCUUAAGUCUGAUGUGAAAGCCCACGGCUCAACCGUGGAGGGUCAUUGGAAACUGGGAAACUUGAGUGCAGAAGAGGAAAGUGGAAUUCCAUGUGUAGCGGUGAAAUGCGCAGAGAUAUGGAGGAACACCAGUGGCGAAGGCGACUUUCUGGUCUGUAACUGACGCUGAUGUGCGAAAGCGUGGGGAUCAAACAGGAUUAGAUACCCUGGUAGUCCACGCCGUAAACGAUGAGUGCUAAGUGUUAGGGGGUUUCCGCCCCUUAGUGCUGCAGCUAACGCAUUAAGCACUCCGCCUGGGGAGUACGACCGCAAGGUUGAAACUCAAAGGAAUUGACGGGG
rnacentral:rRNA from 1 species